UGGGGAAUUUUGGACAAUGGGGGCAACCCUGAUCCAGCCAUGCCGCGUGAGUGAAGAAGGCCUUCGGGUUGUAAAGCUCUUUCGGACGGAACGAAACGGUUACGGUGAAUAAUCGUGACUAAUGACGGUACCGUAAGAAGAAGCACCGGCUAACUACGUGCCAGCAGCCGCGGUAAUACGUAGGGUGCGAGCGUUAAUCGGAAUUACUGGGCGUAAAGCGUGCGCAGGCGGUUCGCCAAGUCAGGUGUGAAAUCCCCGGGCUUAACCUGGGAAUUGCGCUUGAAACUAGCGGGCUUGAGUGCGGCAGAGGGGGGUGGAAUUCCACGUGUAGCAGUGAAAUGCGUAGAGAUGUGGAGGAACACCGAUGGCGAAGGCAGCCCCCUGGGUCGACACUGACGCUCAUGCACGAAAGCGUGGGGAGCAAACAGG
rnacentral:rRNA from 1 species